rnacentral:rRNA from 1 species
GACGAACGCUGGCGGCGUGCCUAAUACAUGCAAGUAGAACGCUGAAGAGAGGAGCUUGCUCUUCUUGGAUGAGUUGCGAACGGGUGAGUAACGCGUAGGUAACCUGCCUGGUAGCGGGGGAUAACUAUUGGAAACGAUAGCUAAUACCGCAUAAAAUUGAUUAUUGCAUGAUAAUUAAUUGAAAGAUGCAACUGCAUCACUACCAGAUGGACCUGCGUUGUAUUAGCUAGUUGGUGAGGUAACGGCUCACCAAGGCGACGAUACAUAACCGACCUGAGAGGGUGAUCGGCCACACUGGGACUGGGGCACGGCCCAGACUCCUACGGGAGGCAGCAGUAGGGAAUCUUCGGCAAUGGGGGGAACCCUGACCGAGCAACGCCGCGUGAGUGAAGAAGGUUUUCGGAUCGUGAAGCUCUGUUGUAAGAGAAGAACGGGUGGGAGAGUGGCAAGUUCACACUGUGACGGUAUCUGACCAGAAAGGGACGGCUAACUACGUG